GUGCUCAAUUUGGCAGCACAUUUACUAAAAUUAGAACAAUGCAAAGAAGAUUAGCAUGACCUCUGCACAAGAAUGACAUGGAAAUUUGUGAAGCAUUCCAUAUUUUU
rnacentral:snRNA from 1 species